GGCGGAGAAGGCAUCCAUGACGGGGCUGCAGCGCCUUCGUUCAGUCCUGACAGGGGGAAAACAACAGAGAGGAGAAGGAUUAGAGGAGAGGGAAGGAUGGGUCACGAGGGAGGAGCGCUGGGCACGGGUGCUGAGCCGGAAUCAUGCCGGAUCUGGCCGCCGGCGUGAUGAAGACCUCCCGGGCUAGCGCGGGCGAAGCUCUGGUUCUGCUGGACUCCAUGCGCUCGUUCCUGUCAGCCCAAAACAGAGGGAGGGAGAGAUGAGAGAAAGAGAGAGGGAGGAGGAGAGAACCAGAGGAGGAGAAGAGAAGACCGAGGCAUGGCCUUGGCAUGGGGUCGACCGGCAGUCAACGGCGGCGGCUGCAGGCUUCCAGGAGGAGCUCGGGAUCGAGCUCCUCUCGAAUUGGAGUGCUGGUUCUUGGAGGUUGCAGGGGAGCUCUGGCUGGCUGACUCGCGGGCGGGAGAAAGGAGAAAGCGGCGCAGCGGGUUGGCCAGAUGGGGAAAUUGAGGUGGGAAGUGGCGGCGCUGGAUGGGACAGGG
rnacentral:lncRNA from 1 species